ACGGUCCUAAGGUAGCGAAAUUCCUUGUCGGGUAAGUUCCGACCCGCACGAAAGGCGUAACGAUUUGGGCACUGUCUCAACGAGAGACUCGGUGAAAUCAUAGUACCUGUGAAGAUGCAGGUUACCCGCGACAGGACGGAAAGACCCCGUGGAGCUUUACUGUAGCCUGAUAUUGAAAUUCGGCACAGCUUGUACAGGAUAGGUAGGAGCCUUUGAAACGUGAGCGCUAGCUUACGUGGAGGCGCUGGUGGGAUACUACCCUAGCUGUGUUGGCUUUCUAACCCGCACCACUUAUCGUGGUGGGAGACAGUGUCAGGCGGGCAGUUUGACUGGGGCGGUCGCCUCCUAAAAGGUAACGGAGGCGCUCAAAGGUUCCCUCAGAAUGGUUGGAAAUCAUUCAUAGAGUGUAAAGGCAUAAGGGAGCUUGACUGCGAGACCUACAAGUCGAGCAGGGUCGAAAGACGGACUUAGUGAUCCGGUGGUUCCGCAUGGAAGGGCCAUCGCUCAACGGAUAAAAGCUACCCCGGGGAUAACAGGCUUAUCUCCCCCAAGAGUUCACAUCGACGGGGAGGUUUGGCACCUCGAUGUCGGCUCAUCGCAUCCUGGGGCUGUAGUCGGUCCCAAGGGUUGGGCUGUUCGCCCAUUAAAGCGGUACGCGAGCUGGGUUCAGAACGUCGUGAGACAGUUCGGUCCCUAUCCGUCGUGGGCGUAGGAAAUUUGAGAGGAGCUGUCCUUAGUACGAGAGGACCGGGAUGGACAUACCUCUGGUGUACCAGUUGUCGUGCCAACGGCAUAGCUGGGUAGCUAUGUGUGGACGGGAUAAGUGCUGAAAGCAUCUAAGCAUGAAGCCCCCCUCAAGAUGAGAUUUCCCAACUUCGGUUAUAAGAUCCCUCAAAGAUGAUGAGGUUAAUAGGUUCGAGGUGGAAGCAUGGUGACAUGUGGAGCUGACGAAUACUAAUCGAUCGAAGACUUAAUCAA
rnacentral:rRNA from 1 species